rnacentral:rRNA from 1 species
GACGUAGGGCGCAAGCGUUGUCCGGAUUUAUUGGGCGUAAAGAGCUCGUAGGCGGCUUGUUGCGUCGACCGUGAAAACCCGUGGCUCAACUGCGGGCUUGCGGUCGAUACGGGCGGGCUAGAGUUCGGUAGGGGAGACUGGAAUUCCUGGUGUAGCGGUGAAAUGCGCAGAUAUCAGGAGGAACACCGGUGGCGAAGGCGGGAUCCUGGGCCAGUACUGACGCUGAGGAGCGAAAGCCAGGGGAGCAAAGCGGG